AAACAUGCCUAUAUUAUUUAACUUUCUCAGUGUGGAAACAAUGAAGUUCUAAAGUAAAUGCCUUUUGUUUUCAGACUGUCUCCCUUGAGCACCUUAGCCUGGAUGGCUAUGCACCCAGGAAUGCCACCUAAGGGGAAGGAAAGGCAGAUGGCUGUUUAUAAGCCUACAACUCUUCUUGAGAAAUCAUGGAGAACAACCUAAACUGUACAUUAAGGCUCAACCACAUCAGUUCCACAUACUAAAACCAAGCCCCAGGCCACUUGUCUGCUGCUUGUCAUGGUCCUCGGCAUCACUGGUAAGGCCUGUGGGCCAGGGUUUCUCACAUUGGCCAACAGGCUUCUUUGAUGGGCACGGGUACUCAAGGCUUCCCUCCUUCCACCCCCUCCCACCCUCAUUAGAGGUGGGGGGUGGGGGGGAAACCAGGCGUGACAGAUUCAAGGAGUUCUUAACAAAUAAUGUUCGGAAGAAAUCCC
rnacentral:lncRNA from 1 species